UCCUCUGGGCAACGUCCUUGCAGACGGCCAAUUCUCUCACACCAGAAGCGACUCAAGUUGCUCCUGACAUGAAAAAAAGUAGAUGUUGAAAGGCAAGAGCUAAGUUUGUUCUGGGAGAAUCUAAGAUGAGCACUGACCUCCCCAUCCCUCUAUUGUCUAUUGCCACUAUGAUGUCAUGCCUGCAGCAGCAGCAAUGGCCAAGGCAGCUGACCCUUCAUGGUGGCACUGGUGCUUUCCCCCCUAUACAAAUGUAUAGUUUUGAUCCCAAAACCUGCCCUCAUACAUGAGUAUAUUCAGAAGAUGAAAAAGAGGCUCAUCCACACACAGUGUGCAAAUAACAGAAAAUUUUAUUUGGAGGUUCUCUUUUAACAUGACAUGCACCUACAUUGAAAUAUAGGUGCCACAGAAAACACUGGGAGAGGACUCCAAAAGUAACACAUUCCAUAGGUUGUGUGCUUCAUAUAAUAUAAUGACCCGGUGCUACAUAUGAGGAUGCUGCACAAAUCACAGUACGCUGGCAAUAGGAAGAUAAUCCAAGAUUUGCACAUUCUUAGGGGCUUGGGACAAAAUUUUGUUCGAUUUUCGGAAUCACAUUGUUUGACCAGCCACAGACAUUUCAAACAGGCUGGAAUGCACUACACUCUGAGGUAUUGCUCUGUUGUUCAUGUUCAUACUUCAUGACAACUCAUAGAUAACAUCACAGGAAAAAAAGAGGAAUCAAAGAA